rnacentral:rRNA from 1 species
GCUUUACAUGAAAGAUUUUUUAUUUAUAUCUAAUUUUAAAAAUAAAAUAUUGUAUUUUGUUAUAUUGGGGUGAUAUAAGUAUAGAUAAUUUUAACUACUUAUUAAUUUUUACAUUUAUAAAUGAAUUAAUUUUAAUAGAUCCUUAUUAAAGAUUUAAAGAAAAAGUU